rnacentral:rRNA from 1 species
ACGGGUGAGUAAUACAUCGGAACAUGUCCUGUAGUGGGGGAUAGCCCGGCGAAAGCCGGAUUAAUACCGCAUACGAUCUAUGGAUGAAAGCGGGGGACCUUCGGGCCUCGCGCUAUAGGGUUGGCCGAUGGCUGAUUAGCUAGUUGGUGGGGUAAAGGCCUACCAAGGCGACGAUCAGUAGCUGGUCUGAGAGGACGACCAGCCACACUGGGACUGAGACACGGCCCAGACUCCUACGGGAGGCAGCAGUGGGGAAUUUUGGACAAUGGGCGAAAGCCUGAUCCAGCAAUGCCGCGUGUGUGAAGAAGGCCUUCGGGUUGUAAAGCACUUUUGUCCGGAAAGAAAUCCUUGGCUCUAAUACAGUCGGGGGAUGACGGUACCGGAAGAAUAAGCACCGGCUAACUACGUGCCAGCAGCCGCGGUAAUACGUAGGGUGCAAGCGUUAAUCGGAAUUACUGGGCGUAAAGCGUGCGCAGGCGGUUUGCUAAGACCGAUGUGAAAUCCCCGGGCUCAACCUGGGAACUGCAUUGGUGACUGGCAGGCUAGAGUAUGGCAGAGGGGGGUAGAAUUCCACGU